rnacentral:rRNA from 1 species
AUACGUAGGGGGCAAGCGUUAUCCGGAUUUACUGGGUGUAAAUGGAGCGUAGACGGUAAAGCAAGUCUGAAGUGAAAGCUCGGGGCUCAACCCCGGAACUGCUUUGGAAACUGUUUUACUGGAGUGCAGGAGAGGUAAGCGGAAUUCCUAGUGUAGCGGUGAAAUGCGUAGAUAUUAGGAGGAACACCAGAGGCGAAGGCGGCUUACUGGACUGUAACUGACGUUGAGGCUCGAAGGCGUGGGGAGCAAACAGGAUUAGAUACCCUGGUAGUCCACGCGGUAAACGAUGAUCACUAGGUGUCGGCGGCCAUAGGCGGUCGGUGCCGCAGCAAACGCAAUAAGUGAUCCACCUGGGGAGUACGUUCGCAAGAAUGAAACUUAAAGGAAUUGACGGGG